rnacentral:rRNA from 1 species
AGCGAACGCUGGCGGCAGGCCUAACACAUGCAAGUCGAACGAACCCUUCGGGGUUAGUGGCGGACGGGUGAGUAACACGUGGGGACGUGCCUUUAGGUUCGGAAUAACUCAGGGAAACUUGUGCUAAUACCGAAUGUGCCCUUCGGGGGAAAGAUUUAUCGCCUUUAGAGCGGCCCGCGUCUGAUUAGCUAGUUGGUGAGGUAAUGGCUCACCAAGGCUACGGUCAGUAGCUGGUCUGAGAGGAUGACCAGCCACAUUGGGACUGAGACACGGCCCACACUCCUACGGGGGGCAGCAGUGGGGAAUCUUGCGCAAUGGGCGAAAGCCUGACGCAGCCAUGCCGCGUGGAUGAUGAAGGUCUUAGGAUUGUAAAAUCCUUUCACCGGUGAAGAUAAUGACUGUAGCCGGAGAAGAAGCCCCGGCUAACUUCGUGCCAGCCGCCGCAGUAAAAC